rnacentral:rRNA from 1 species
GUGAAAUUCCGUCGGAAUCUGGGAGGACCAUCUCCUAAGGCUAAAUACUCUCUAGUGACCGAUAGUGAACCAGUACCGUGAGGGAAAGGUGAAAAGCACCCCGGAAGGGGAGUGAAAUAGAACCUGAAACCGUGUGCUUACAAGUAGUCAGAGCCCGUUAAUGGGUGAUGGCGUGCCUUUUGUAGAAUGAACCGGCGAGUUACGAUUUGAUGCAAGGUUAAGCAGUAAAUGUGGAGCCGUAGCGAAAGCGAGUCUGAAUAGGGCGUUUAGUAUUUGGUCGUAGACCCGAAACCAGGUGAUCUACCCUUGGUCAGGUUGAAGUUCAGGUAACACUGAAUGGAGGACCGAACCGACUUACGUUGAAAAGUGAGCGGAUGAACUGAGGGUAGCGGAGAAAUUCCAAUCGAACCUGGAGAUAGCUGGUUCUCUCCGAAAUAGCUUUAGGGCUAGCCUCAAGUGAUGAUUAUUGGAGGUAGAGCACUGUUUGGACGAGGGGCCCCUCUCGGGUUACCGAAUUCAGACAAACUCCGAAUGCCAAUUAAUUUAACUUGGGAGUCAGAACAUGGGUGAUAAGGUCCAUGUUCGAAAGGGAAACAGCCCAGACCACCAGCUAAGGUCCCAAAAUAUAUGUUAAGUGGAAAAGGAUGUGGCGUUGCCCAGACAACUAGGAUGUUGGCUUAGAAGCAGC